rnacentral:rRNA from 1 species
GUCGAGCGAGCCGAACUAAUUGAUUACCUUCGGGUAUGAAGUUAGGGAAGCGAGCGGCGGAUGGGUGAGUAACACGUGGGUAACCUACCCUAUAGUCUGGGAUACCACUUGGAAACAGGUGCUAAUACCGGAUAAAAGGAGAGAUCACAUGAUUUCUUUUUGAAAGGCGGCGUAAGCUGUCGCUAAAGGAUGGACCCGCGGUGCAUUAGCUAGUUGGUAAGGUAACGGCUUACCAAGGCAACGAUGCAUAGCCGAGUUGAGAGACUGAUCGGCCACAUUGGGACUGAGACACGGCCCAAACUCCUACGGGAGGCAGCAGUAGGGAAUCUUCCACAAUGGACGCAAGUCUGAUGGAGCAACGCCGCGUGAGUGAAGAAGGUUUUCGGAUCGUAAAGCUCUGUUGUUGGUGAAGAAAGAUAGUGAGAGUAACUGCUCAUUAUUUGCCGGUAAUCAACCAGAAAGUCACGGCUAACUACGUGCCAGCAGCCGCGGUAAUACGUAGGUGGCAAGCGUUGUCCGGAUUUAUUGGGCGUAAAGCGAGCGCAGGCGGAAAGAUAAGUCAGAUGUGAAAGCCCUCGGCUUAACCGAGGAAUAGCAUCGGAAACUGUCUUUCUUGAGUGCAGAAGAGGAGAGUGGAACUCCAUGUGUAGCGGUGGAAUGCGUAGAUAUAUGGA